CCUGUUUCCCCAGAGGCACCAAGGAUGAAACAGCUUUUAUUUUGCUGCCUGAAGUUGUCCUCCAGGGUCUUCAUGUCCUCAGCCAUGCUGUGUGCCAAAACAAAGCGACUGCUCUCUUAGCACCGUGUAUGAGUGCAGGAAGAAUCCAAGCCUUCAUACAUUAUGCUGACUGUGCAGAAUAUGUCAAGAGUGGAAAGGACAGAGCAACGUGUGCUUCAUCAAAGUAGUCUUGCAUUGCCUGUGUCACGACAUGUUUGCACUGUGGCAGCGCUGGAAAAAAGUCUGAUGGAAGUCGUCAUUCUGAGAGCAAAGACUGUAAAGAUCCAUCAAACCCUAGACGCAAAGGCAAGACGAUGGGAAAACAUUCAAGGAGAACCAUUGCCAUGGAUAAUAGCUGGAAUUACACUGUCCUGUGAAAACUAGAAAGUAAAACAACUGGAACCAAAAACUCUGUCUACGUGUGUGGCAGGGCAAACAAUAGGUCACUCUCUAAGUUUUUACAUCUUCCCUAAACAGAAGGCAAGUUGUAAGAGCAGGUUGAGCUCCUUCCAUCCUUAACCCAGCUCAUAUUUUACCAAAUGAAAGGAUGACGUCCCUUCUCGAAGCUUUACCUCAUGUGAUUAUCUGAAGGCAAGUGAAAGUUUCAAAUUCCUGCUCUGCGGCUCGUUGUCUUUGGAGUGGACUCUCUCUCAGGCCAUUGUGCUCUCCUUGACCUUAAGUGUCUUAUCAUUUGGCCCUGCAGGGCAGAGGUCACUCUGCAAUAGUUGACCCUUCCCCCCUGCCCGCUCCAUUCGGCUUUUGCACAAGUACAAGAGGUCUCUAGGAAGACUCUCCAGCUAAAGAUAAUAUACAAAGUACUCUGAGAUAUACCCCAAUGCACCUUUGAGUGACCGGGAAUGGAAGACGGAAAAGUUGACGAAGAUUCAGAGGAUUCAGACCAAGAUUUACAGACAUCAGCAGUCUUCUACAAAGUUUCUGAAUGCUUUGCUCUUCCAUGUUAUUUCUGGUGAACUGGCUUAACCCCACAUCCUGGUCAUGAGUUCAUCAUGAAAGGCCACUUGCAAUCCUGGUGUCUCUUUGUUUAGUCAGCUGAUAGCUGGGGGAAAUAAACGUGAAAGUACUCCUGCGUCUCACUGUCUCUGAUCUGGAUAAACUGUGUCAUUUCUCGCUUAUUAAGCUGAAACGGCUCUGAGCUCAACAUGGCUGCUAAACCUGAGGAGAGAGGAGGCGUGAAGAAGAAGAAUGGGGGAAAUGGACUGCAGGAGAUGGUGAAAGGGAUAGACGAGUGAUGGUUUGGGGAACUGACAAGCCUGAAGGGGGGAGUUAAAGACCUAGUGGAAGAGAGGUCAACUCACCUAGGGCCUAUUAGAUCCCCCAUAAUGCAAUGAUGGGAUCAAUUACAGGCCACACUGGGACUAAAAACCAGCACAGGCCAGUGGCUCCAAAUGGCUGUAUGUGACUUUGUGGCUGUUUGUGCUGUGGGGAAAGUCGGUCAGGCCACAUUACUGCUGUCUGUAUGACCAAAGACCCUGACCAUCCUGAUGGUCAUCAUGCCUCACAGAGUUUCAACAGGGUAAAUGGACCGGCUGAUGGUCCACAUCCGGGUUGAAGAAAACUGCCGUGGCCCCGUCAGCUUCUGCUGCGGCAGCCAGCAAACUGCCACCUCACACUGAGGCCCACAGAUGUUUCAAACCAUGUGGCUGCUGUCACGGCUUUCUCAACGGAUGUUUGAUUUACCAUCUCCCAAUGUUUAACAAACGUUGUAUGACUGCAUUAUUGCACAACCUAUGUUGACUAGACACUAGAUAAGGAUAUGCAGUGCAUUUCCUUAUUAUUAUUUUAAGUAUUAUGACAGACAUUUUCUUUAUGUUUUGGCGCUGUACUGCAGUACAUUGGGUGUGAAAUGAAACAACAAUUACAAUGUUAACAUGCUGGUUCUCAGGGCUGCAACUAAUUGCUAUUUAAUUCUCAAUUAAUCUACUGAUUUUUUUUAUUUUUAUUUAAUCGGUUCUGGCCAUCACAAGCUCUCAGAGCCUAAUGUAACAUUUUCAUAUUGCUUGUUUUGUCCAACCAAUAACCUAAAACCCAAAGAUUUUCACUGAAAUAACAGAGAGGAGCAACAAAUCCUUUGAGAGGCUGGAACCAGAUAAUUUUAUUGCAUUUUUGCUUGAUAAAUUUUUCACACAAUUCAUGAAAAGUGGUGUUGAUUAAUUUUCUGUCGAUCAUUAUUGGUAACAAUGGUACUGAUUAUUUCGGCACUGCUUUCAGUUUACAUCCACAUUAGAUGAACAGUGUAGCAACUGUGUCCAUUUAAUACACAAUUCCCCAAUUUUAGACAAAAAGUAAUUAAACAAGUUAACAUAAUCUUAAAUAAAGCCAUUUAAUAUUUGGUGUCAUAUCAUUUGUAGUCAGUGACGCAUACAACAACAGACACUAGGUACUAUGUCUUCCCUGAUGACAUAGUGCCUAGGCUUGUACUGCAGCCAUCUUCACUUCCUUGUUGUUUUUCAAACUGGUCCUUAGUGAAAUAGUUGGAUUAGUUGGACUGAGGUCAUGCAAUGGUUAUCUGGACAGUCCAGAACAUUCCACUGUUGACCACAUGUUGCGAUCAUUGUCCUCCCGCAUUGUUCUAAAAUUGUGCACUGUGUAUAAAGGGUGUUAAUAGUCCUGCACUGAUAAUUUAAUGUUAACACCUCCAAAUUAACGCUGAAAGUUAGCACUUUAACAUCAUUGUCACUGUUUCAUUUCAAAUGAAAUGGGCUAGAGAACAGAGACAAAACGAUACAAAAUGUGUUGUUGUCUUAAUAGUUUGACUGCACUGUAGCUUCAACAUGAUAGUGGGCUAAAACAACACACUACAAUAAUGCUUAAGAAAGAAAUUCAGCUUGUGAAUUCAUCCAAAUAUUUAAAGUCAGUUUUGGAGUAUGUGAAACUUCAAAUGAAAUCCACAGAAUCUGAAGGUCAGCAGUGUUUUCUUUGGUCAUGUUCAUUCAU